CGCGGGCCUCCGAACCCGCCGGCGGGGCCGCGCCGGGGGUUGCGCUCGAGAGAGGCUGGGAGAGGCCCCGGGGGCUGCACCCCCCCUGUCGGCUGCCGCAGCCGAGGGCAUCAACUCCUCAUCCCCACGCGCGCUCACAGGCCCCGGAGCCGAGCGAGAGCUACCCUGGGGCCCGUGCCUCCCCUUUCUCCCCUUCCCAACCCCACCCCAAGGAGUGCAGACCCCGCUGGAGGGUGCAGCCCAGGGCCGCUGAGCGCCAACACCCUGCGCCACUUCGAGCAAGUCACGUCGCCUCCCAGAACCUCGGUGCCCUCUUCUGCCAAGUGGCGGUGAUGAGAGGGAGCUUGCGGGGUCGUGAAAGGUAUUCAAGGCGACGAGAGAAGGAAACUAAGGCGAAAUGACUUCCCUAGCUGAAACAAAUACUGCAAAAAGCUCAGCCCUCAAGGAUAGGGCUGGCAUUAAGGAGACACCCACAGCAAAGGUUAAACAACGAUAAAAUGUUAAUUAUUCAAGACUGCUGGAAGAGCUAUUAAAGGCCACAGGAAGACCUUGGACAGCAGUGAACAGAGGUGUGAUGUGACCUUGGAGGGAGUUUCAAAGCAAUCUGCGAUGGAAUAUGCUCUUCCCUGUCCUUUGUCCCUCAAAGUCAUCAUCCACCAAAGCCUGAAGACUCCACAUCUCAUCCCCCUGCCCAUCCCACCCCUGAGUCCAAGAGGACUAGACUCCCUUGCGUAGACCCCUCCCCCCGGCACCUGCCUAGCCCCUGCCAUCUCCAAGCCAUGCCCCCCACUCCUUCUCGCCAGCACUGCAGAGUCAUCCUCUCUGGAUGUUGCUAUUGCUUCUGGGCCUUCCUGGUUCCCAGUGGCUCCCUGCUGCCACCUCAUCAGGCCCAGACAGCUCUGCUGGGCUUCCCACCCCUCAUGCCUGGGCCCCACCCAGCUGACCUCAGGGCCCACUGUCUCACCACUCUCUGAGUUCAAGUUCAUUCCUUCCCAGGGGCAGCAUCACGUGGCACACCAUCCCCAACCUUUGCCCUGAGCCUCAGGUCCUACCAGUGUACUUUCUGGGCUGCCUCCUCCAGGAAGUCCUCUGGACUAUCAGGCCCUCGCUCCCCAAACCCACAUGCUCUUAACCCAACAAUCCAGGCUUCAUAAUCUGCUACUUUUGCUGUUGAUUGACUACUCCACGUGUGUCCUCUUCUUCUCCACACUAUUCUAGUGGGAAGGACCCAGAUGGUACAGUCAGACAGCACUGGAUGGGAAUUCUGGCUUCUGCUACUACGAAUGACCUUGGACAAGUUACAGAACCUUCUGAAUCUCUUUCCUCACCUGUGAAAUGGGAUAAUGAUACCUAUUUCCUAGAGUUGUGAGAAUUAAAUGAGAUGAUGCAAUUAAAGUGCCUCCUAGAGACUAAUAUACAAUAGGUCUAAACCUAUGGUAGUUUAUUCUUUUCCUUCGAGCUCCUAGUGUACUGCUGAACAUACAGUAGGUCCUCAAUAAA